CGGGUGGCGGACGGGUGAGUAAUGUCUGGGAAACUGCCUGAUGGAGGGGGAUAACUACUGGAAACGGUAGCUAAUACCGCAUAACGUCGCAAGACCAAAGAGGGGGACCUUAGGGCCUCUUGCCAUCGGAUGUGCCCAGAUGGGAUUAGCUAGUAGGUGGGGUAACGGCUCACCUAGGCGACGAUCCCUAGCUGGUCUGAGAGGAUGACCAGCCACACUGGAACUGAGACACGGUCCAG
rnacentral:rRNA from 1 species